GUAAUAGUUAUGUUCUUGAAACCCAAAGAAUUUGGCGGUAUUUUAGUCCUUUCAGAGGAAUCUGUCCCGUAAUCGACAGUCCACGAGAUAAUUUACUUAUCCUUGUAUUUCAGUUUGUAUACCUCCGUCAUAAGAAGAUCUUUUUAGAGAUAAAUUUUCUUAAUAUAUUAAGUAUAAAAUGUCAGGUCAAGGUGCAAUUUAUGGAUGAGUGGAGAUGGAUUACAAUAAAUUUAUUUAAAUGGAUUAAAUUAUUUAAUUUUUUAUGAAGGUGGAUUUGAUAGUAAUUUUAAUUAUUUGUUAUUAUGAUUUUGGCUCUAAAAUAUGCACACAUCGCCCG
rnacentral:rRNA from 1 species